rnacentral:rRNA from 1 species
UACGUAGGGGGCGAGCGUUGUCCGGAUUUAUUGGGCGUAAAGAGCUCGUAGGCGGUUCGAUAAGUCGGACGUGAAAUCUCCACGCUCAACGUGGAGGGGCCGUUCGAUACUGUCGUGACUCGAGUCCGGUAGGGGAGUGUGGAAUUCCCGGUGUAGCGGUGAAAUGCGCAGAGAUCGGGAGGAACACCCGUAGCGAAGGCGGCACUCUGGGCCGGUCCUGACGCUGAGGAGCGAAAGCGUGGGGAGCAAACAGG